rnacentral:rRNA from 1 species
ACGAACGCUGGCGGCGUGCUUAACACAUGCAAGUCGAACGGAAAGGCCCUGCUUUUGUGGGGUGCUCGAGUGGCGAACGGGUGAGUAACACGUGAGUAACCUGCCCUUGACUUUGGGAUAACUUCAGGAAACUGGGGCUAAUACCGGAUAGGAGCUCCUGCUGCAUGGUGGGGGUUGGAAAGUUUCGGCGGUUGGGGAUGGACUCGCGGCUUAUCAGCUUGUUGGUGGGGUAGUGGCUUACCAAGGCUUUGACGGGUAGCCGGCCUGAGAGGGUGACCGGCCACAUUGGGACUGAGAUACGGCCCAGACUCCUACGGGAGGCAGCAGUGGGGAAUAUUGCACAAUGGGCGGUAGCCUGAUGCAGCAACGCCGCGUGCGGGAUGACGGCCUUCGGGUUGUAAACCGCUUUCGCCUGUGACGAAGCGUGAGUGACGGUAAUGGGUAAAGAAGCACCGGCUAACUACGUG